GAUGAACGCUGGCGGCGUGCCUAAUACAUGCAAGUCGAGCGCUCCGCCGCGGUGCUUGCUGGCGAACCGUUGGGGGCGGAAGAGUGAGCCACGCGUGGAUAGCCGGCUUAUUGGUCUGGGCUAACGCUGGGAAAGCGGAGCUGUUACCGGCUCAUGUACUGAAUAGGAAGGGUCCAACGGGAAUGAUGGAUUUGGUACUUCUGAUAGAUGGACUCGUGCCGCAUUAGCUAGUUGGUAAGGUAACGGCUUACCAAGGCAACGAUGCGUAGCCGACCUGAGAGGGUGAUCGGCCACACUGGGACUGAGACACGGUCCAGACUCCUACGGGAGGCAGCAGUAGGGAAUCUUCCGCAAUGGGCGAAAGCCUGACCGAGCAACGCCGCGUGAGGGAAGAAGGUCUUCGGAUCGUAAACCUCUGUUAUUAGGGAAGAACGAAGGUGAAAGGAACUAAUCUCGUCUUGACGGUACCUAAUCAGAAAGCCACGGCUAACUACGUG
rnacentral:rRNA from 1 species